GGGGUUGUUUGGCUUUGACAGCUCGUAUGUGGGAAUGUAAGCAUGCCGGACGUUGGAAGCAGGUUCCGUAACAGCUAACUUCCGAGCCUAUUAUAAAUGGCACAAAUAAUAAUUUCGCUUUAGCUGCCUAACAAGAGUUAAGCACAAAGCUGUUUCCCUGAAAGCCCUUUUUCUCGGCGUUUAGGUAGAAGCAUCGCAAAGGAGAAAAUAGUUUUUGUAAGCCUCGAUACAAAAGCGAAAACUAAGAGGAUAAGUAGUGUAUGGGUUCGCCUUGUACCAAUACGCUAUCGAAAAUCAAACAAAGGCUAAGCAUGUAGAAAGCAUUUUUGCAGCGUGUUUGGACGAGGGUUCGACUCCCUCCAACUCCACUA
rnacentral:tmRNA from 1 species